rnacentral:rRNA from 1 species
UAAGGAAUAUUGGUCAAUGGAGGCAACUCUGAACCAGCCAUGCCGCGUGCAGGAAGAAGGCCCUAUGGGUCGUAAACUGCUUUUGAACAAGAGAAAACCCCGGUACGUGUACUGGGUUGAUAGUAUUGUUAGAAUAAGCAUCGGCUAACUUCGUGCCAGCAGCCGCGGUAAGACGAAGGAUGCAAGCGUUAUCCGGAUUCAUUGGGUUUAAAGGGUGCGUAGGCGGCUAGUAUAAGUCAGUGGUGAAAGGCUGUGGCUUAACCAUGGGAUUGCCAUUGAUACUGUACGGCUUGAAUUAGGAUGAGGUUGGCGGAAUGUGACAUGUAGCGGUGAAAUGCUUAGAUAUGUCAUGGAACAUCGAUUGCGAAGGCAGCUGACUGGACCUUAAUUGACGCUGAGGCACGAAAGCGUGGGGAGCGAACAGGAUUAGAUACCCUUGUAGUCCCUGAGCGGGCUGGCAAGGCGCAU